rnacentral:miRNA from 1 species
CUGGCGCUUGUGCAUUCACAUCCUUUAUUCCCACCUGUGCAUUCACAUUUCUUUAUAUCUGAAGAAAUGUGAAUGCACAGGUGGGAGUAAAGGAUGUGAAUGCACAGGUGGGAGUAA